CUCGGGCAUGAGAAUGUGUGCGCGCGCAUGCACACGCUAUAUGCACCAUUAAUCAAUAGAGACGAUGAAAUGAUGCUAUUGUGUGCGAGGCAAGGCGAACGGCACAUUGAAUAAUGAGCUAGUCAGAGCUGUUGGCAAAUCAUUAAUGUAAGGUGUUGGUCUAAACCUGGUUCUCACACUCUCUCUGUGCAAGCUGUUCCCAGGUGACAAAAAACUGGGGGGAGACACUAUUUUAGGAGCUGAUAUCACACCUUUCUUUCCUUUUCUUUCUUUCUUUUUUUUUUUUUUUUACCCCCAUCACUUAUAUUCCAUCCUGAAUCUCUGCCUCUCUCUGUGUGAGUGCCUGGGUGGGGUGUGGAGGAAGAUCUUCCUGUUGUCUUUCCCUUCUGUCCUUCUUUCCUCGUUUUCUCAGGCAUUCUUUUACAGCGUAGUGUGACACACCUGCUGUAGGUGCAGCAGGUGUGUUUACUUCCUGUGUCGACUCGAACCUAACGUAACCUUUACCUUCAACUGCAGAGAUUACAGCGCCUCUUCAUCCUUAAGUUUGCCCCAUUUAUGUCGCCUGCAGAUGAUCGCGGAGGCGGACUGGAGGCCAUUAAAUACAUCGCGACAUGUGGACGAAGAAUUCUUUUCACGCUACCUAUGAGACGUCUUUUCUUUGUUUUGUCCCUGUGGUCGUCCUGAUCCGAAAGCUUUUAGAAAACCUGCACAAAUCUGCCUGAAAUGAACAGGGAGGGUUCCGUUCAUAUCUGUCGACAUAUGUGAUGAAGAGCAUAACUGAGCCUUUAUUAAAUAACCAGCGCGUCA